ACACCACCUUGGUGAACAUGGUAGGAGGGGUCUAUCUAGAGCCUUUUCUAGUGUCUUCAUCAUAUCCCCUGCCACAGAUCCUAUAACAUGGCAUCUCUGGGUCUUGGAAUGGAGAUGCAUUGGAAUGGAGAUGGCCCCAGAGAGCAGAGCUGCACGUGGGGAGUUGAGGUCAAAUCAGAGUGGUCCAGCCAUGUCCAUGCUGGGGACAGUUGAAGGGCCUCCGCUGUUGCCUAGUGUGUCCUUCUAUAGCUUAGGACGUUUUCCUCCUCUGUGCAUGGUGACUCUGUCUCUGCUCACAGGUUGAUGUCUGUGGAGGAGGAACUGAAGAAGGAUCACGCUGAGAUGCAAGCGGCCGUAGACUCCAAACAGAAGAUCAUCGAUGCCCAGGAAAAGCGCAUUGCCUCGCUGGACGCUGCCAAUGCCCGCCUCAUGAGUGCCCUCACA
rnacentral:lncRNA from 1 species